rnacentral:tRNA from 1 species
GCAGUGGUGGUUCAGUGGUAGAAUUCUCACCUUCCAUGCAGGAGACCCAGGUUCGAUUCCUGGUCGAUGCA